GAAGAUGAGUUGAUGGAAAAUAAAAAUAAAAUGUAUGUGAAAAAAGUUGUAAAUAUAUAUAUAUAUACAGGACACGACAAGACGAGGACAAAAGACGUCUGAACUGCUAUGCCAUCUCGGGAGUGUUUUUUCCGGCGUCCUGGAACGCACCCUGUCUGGUUGCCGGGCAAUGUAGCCAGUUGGGAGUUCUGAUGACCCGCACCUGUAUCCCAUCAGCUAUCUGCACACCUGGUCCUGAUCAUCAUCUCUCCUCUUCAUAAGCCCGGACCUGACAUCCAUUCCCUGCCGGAUCGUUAGCCAUGAACAUUACUCACCCGGAUCAUUUACCCCAUUCCCGCCUGGUCGUCGGAGGAUUCCGCUACCCCAGUGGAUCCACCUAUUUACUCCCAUCAACUCACCACCGCUGCCCGCUACGCCACCUGGAUAUAUCUACCCAUUCACUUGUAAAUAAAUACUCACCUUCUUACUCUCCUUGUCCUGGUCUGCUUCUGGGUUCGAUUUUGAAAGAACGUGACAGAAAGAUCCGGCCAAGGAUGAACCCAGCGGACCUGGACUCUGUUUGCCAUGCCAUUACCCAGCAGGGGAAGACAUUGGGACAACACAAGACGGCGCUACAGGAGAUAGCGGGUGCAAUCCAGAACUUAUCUGCUAGCUUGACACAAAUCCAGGAUCAGCUCAGUUUGCCGGCGAUUCAUUCACCACCUGUUUCACCCAUCUCACCUGCCAUGUCUGGUGCGGUUUCCUUCCGUGAACCCAAGGUACCGACGCCUGAUAAAUAUGAAGGGGAUUUGGGAAGAUGCCGUUCGUUUCUUAUGCAGUGUGGGUUAGUGUUUGAUCUGCAGCCCCAUUCUUACGCCACUGACAAGGCUAGGAUAGCCUUUGUUAUUGAACUGCUGUGUGGAAGAGCUCUAGAAUGGGCUUCCGCCGUUUGGGAACGACAGGAGAUCUGCAUGGCUUCAUACCAGGAGUUCACGGGAGAGAUGAGAAAGCUUUUUGACCAUCCAGUCCGAGGUAAGGACGCAGCUAAACGUUUGUUCACUCUUCGCCAAGGAGCUCGCAGUGUGGCAGAUUUUAUGAUCGAGUUCAGGACAUUGUCUGUGGAGAGUGGUUGGAAUGAGGAGUCACUACAAGCGGCUUUUUACCAGGGGUUGUCGGAGCAACUCAAGGACGAGCUGAUA